UUAAGUUCAGCGGGUAUUCCUACCUGAUCCGAGGUCAAACUCUAAAAGUUGGGGUUUUACGGCGUGGGCCCGCUACUUUGCAAUGCGAGGUGUGCUACUACGCAGAGCAAGUGCAGCGAGACCGCCACUGUAUUUGGGCCGCAGCCGCCGGGGGAGUUCCCCAGCAGCUGUUGGCCAACACCGCUGCCGGAAGGCCGCGA
rnacentral:misc_RNA from 1 species